GGAGAGAUGGCCGAGAGGCUGAAGGCGUCGGUUUGCUAAACCGAUGUAGGGCCUAAAACUCUACCGAGGGUUCGAAUCCCUCUCUCUCCG
rnacentral:tRNA from 2 species